AUGCAAAUCUUCGUGACAGAGACGCUAGAAGGCAGGACCAUCACUCUUGAGGUGGACAGCCUAGACACCAUUGACAAGGUGAAGGCCAAGAUCGAAAACACUGAGGGCUUCCCCAAGGUUCAGCAGUGCCUCAUCUUUGCCAACAAACAGCUGGAGGACGGCAAGUGCACCUUGGCUGACCACAACAUCUGUAAAGGGUCCACUCUUUUCCUCAUCCUCCUCCCGUGUAGCCCGGAUGUUGUGAUGCCAAUCUUCGUGAAGACGCCGCAAGGGAAGAUCCUCACCUUUAAGGCUGGGAGCUCGGACACCGUCAACAGUAUCAUGGUGAAGAUCUACGAGAAGAACGGCGUUCCCCCUAUACAGCAGCGCCUCGUCUUUGCUGGCAAGCAGCUGCAUGACGACCGCACCCUGGCAGACUACAAUAUUCAGAGCGAGGAUACCCUUCAUUUGGUGUUCCGCCAAUGUGGUUGCUGA
rnacentral:rRNA from 1 species